CUAGCUAUUGCGUUCUUCGUGGGACCAGCCUAACUAAAGGCCACUGGGCUGGAAUAGCCAACGCCUUCCAACUGCCACUAAGGGAGGUUUUCCGUUCCGUGUUUGGGAUUGGCUGGGACUUCUGGUGCCUCCUGCCAAGGGUGGAGCCAAUGGUUGGGCAGCCCAGAAGGCUCCAAGCAUGCGCACUUGAGCUCGAGCUCUUGCGUCGUCUGUUCAUCAGUGCAGUUAGUUGGUCUUCAAGCUCAGUGCAAGUUGGUGGUAGUGUCCCUGUACUCCAUGUGGCCUGCUGCAUGCUCGUGCAGGGUUUUAAGAUCGGGUCCUGAGCUUAAAUACAUUUCCCCGGGGUGUGAGGCUAGUCCCUUCCUUAUAGCUUCAUAGUCUUUGAUGGAGCUGUGCCAUCUGAGAAGCCUGCCUCUGGAUUGGGGUUUUGGGGAAGGGGGGUGGGUGCCAAGUCUCACCAUGGUGUCAUUCCUGGGUCCUAUUGUGGGGGCCCUCUUACCAGCCUGCCCUCUCGUAGUUCAGAAAGCCCUGCCGGGGCAUCUGUUUGUCCUCUUGCCACUUUGUUUCUGGGUCCUCCUUCAUCUUUCCUAUGUUCUAUCAUGUUCUGUCGCCAGCACUCUCCAAGUCUCAUUUACUACAGAUCUUUUGACACCGGUCAUUCUUUUAAGCCCAAAGACCGUUUGUGAAGUGGACAGAGCUAUAACUGCUGCUGUUUGUAGAGUUUUGUGUCACACUAUUUCCUUUUUUAACGUUUACAUUGUUGGUGAAUUUUACAUUGCGCACCCGGUCAUGCUCACUUCCCAGUCCUCCCAGGUGUGCCUCCCCACCUUGUGACCACCCCCUAAAAAAGAAAAACAACUCCAAUUUGUGUUGCCCAUCCUUACUGAAGCACAGGCAAACUCCCAGUGACCAGCUCCUUAAGACUGAAUCCCUCCCCACCCCCACCCCUGUCAGAAUGUAUACAUUUAAUACGCACAUCUUUCUAAGUGGGUUUUUACCUGGACACUUUCACGGCCUACCAUCUUAGUAAACAUUCUCUUUGUGGCUUACCUUACAAUAAUAGCACAGUUGGUUUCUUCAGUCACCAAACUCCUGACAUCAUUUCUCACCUGUUACUCUUAACUAGUCCAGAGAGGAAUUGAUCGUCAGACAGCGCAAAUUGGAUAAAGAAUGUUUUUCAUUUUCCUUUUUAUAAUUUCUAUUCCCACCGUGGAAGUGCGUUAAAGAUGGCUUCCACCGCAAGUGAGAAACUGUGGGAUCCGGCAAGACGAUAACUCUUUGAUGAUCUCAAAGAACUCUCUCUCUCUCUGCCUUCCAACAUCUCCUACAUUGUGAUUUCAGCAAAAAAGAAAAAAGAGGAAAAGAAAAAAAGAAAAGUAGGCUAGCCAAGAUGGCCAAGCGUGACAAUGGUGUGGAGAGGCCUAGCAGUGCUUCUGACCAUGGUUUGGGAGGCAGAGAAACCUGAAGGAUUCCUUAGAAGUCUCCAGCAGAGGGUUCAGCCAGUCCAUCUUGCUCACUUGUGCUUGUAAACAAAACAGUAUGAAAUGAGUUGGGAGCAGAUAGGCUUUGUCACUGAGGGCUCAUCUACAGUCUAUCCCCUGACUAUGUCUGGUCUUUAGGCUGCUUCCUCCAUUUUAUUUGUAAAUAUGAGGCCUAGAGUCCCAGCUCACUAAAGUGUGCGAAAUGUUUGGAAAUGUCUGGAGACUUUGAAAUCAGAAGGGAUCAGCUUUUCUAUUAUCCCCACCUGUUAAGUGUGUAUGCAACCUUGGGUAAAUUCUGGAAAGGCAGAGAGCCUCCUAUAGGUUUGCACCCACAAUGUAACAAGAACCCUGUGAGGAUUACCCUCACAGCAGGAAGGAGAGCAAGUCCUCAUUCCUGCCUCCCCUCUCUAAGAGUAACUGUAGCUUCUGAACCCCAGGGCUGAGCUGAAUGCCCCUACACCUUCCAGUCCUAGGACUCCAGGGCACUUAACAAAUCUCAUCUCUUCCACAGCAAUAAGGCCCUACUUGGGAAGACUGUUUUGUCAGGGACCUUUGGCCAAAGUUCUUCCUCCCCAACAGGAUCACAUACCUCCAAGACCACUUCUAAAUACCCUGCCCUCUUUUCUUUCCCUGGUUGUAACCCCAAUGGGUACCUUUCUACUGUGGCCCUCCCCUCACUCUCACAAACACAGACCCUAACAGACUUUGGCAGUACAGAGCUCAUUACCUGCUGCAAAGGUGAUUCCCUUUCCUGGGAGUCUUACAGUCAAAUGUCACCCCACUUCAUCUUUGGGGCUUACUUCUCCCUAGCACUUUUGGGGACAGGGACAGCUUCUUUACCCUCUCCAAGUCCAAUCUGUUCCCUCGUGUCCUCUAAAAGGUCUGUUGACAGGUGUGUUAAGUCUGAGAGGGGCACCUCCGGGUGUGCGGAGAAGCCGAGUACUUGCAUUCCCUGUGACAAAUGUGACGAUUGAUGGGUGAAAAGAAGUGAUAACUAGUGGGACCGGAGACUAUUUCAGGUUUUUUUUCCUGGUAAAACAUGUAUUCAAUCGUUUCUAUUGCAAGUGUCAGGAACUGGAGAGCAUUAUGGUGAUAGAAAAAUACAUGACUUGUAAAGGAACGAGAACACACUGAGGAGAAGGAAAGUCAAACUUUAAGGGUAUAGUUAUCAAAUAAAUGGUAAACAGAAGGCGGGAUGAAAGACGUAGAAAACCAUGUAUUGAUUUCCUGACAUUGCAAACAGCUGGGUUUUCCUUUCAAAAGAACUUGGGAAUAGGUCAACUUUGAGAAGAGCUAUAGUUUAAAUAAAAAUGCUUCUGAAACAAAAUAAAUGAACAAGAGCAAAUAUGCUUGUAUGCACAUAUACAAGAAGAUGGGGAUCUUAGGGUAGGAUGAAGAUACUAUAUCCACAACUUACAUACACAAGACAGCAUAUCGGCUACCUGUAUUACCCAAAACUGUUUUUACAUUCAAAGAGCUUUGGAAGGAACAGGGAAGAAGCAAAAGAUAGAGAUACGCAUAGUCAGCAACAUAUACACGGGAUAAUUUGCAAGCUGAGAAGUUAUGGGGUUGAGAGGGGAAGCAGUUCACAUAAGAUUGGCUUUAUCCAGGUCUCUUGCCUUAAUUGGAGCCACCAGAAUGGUCCUUGGAAGAGUCCCUACCCAACUUCAUAAAGCCUGGAAGUCCCAGGGAAAACAAUGUCUAAGGAUUUAUAUCUAAUGAAGCCCACAGAUCCUCCAAGUGAAGGAGAGAAGGGUCCAUAUUCCAAAGAAUGAUGAAGGGUGGGAGCCAUCAGUAGGGAAACAAGUCUUGAGGAUGAGUUCCGUUGACAGGAAGGACGUGUGGAAGAGACAAUAGGCAACACAAUACACACGGAGGUUUUUCUUACUCUAGGACUAUGGGGUGGAGUCAUGUAAGGAAGCUGUGUAGGGCUCAAUGAGCAGAAAUCAGAAAGUGGCUUUUGUGUGUGUGGGGGUGGUGGUGGUCAAGUUUUCCUAUCACUGGGAAUGGUGUUUGUGGAGGACAGGGCACAGCACUUUUCAGGGAAACCCAGAUUUCUUAUAGAGGUGGUAUGAUAUUUAGUGACUAAAGCUUGAGGCAGAUGUAAAAGCGUUUAACCCAUUCUACAAACAUAAUACAUUCUGAUAAAGUGAACAUUUUAUCUCUUGGAAACUAGAAAGGAAGGGAAUGGGGGAAGACCAGGGAAUGAAGCUUAAUGGCAACCUAAAACAUUGGGCUUGAUAUCCAGCAUUGGAGGGUGCAGGGGAGAAGCAAAAAUAUAGACACAUAUAUUCAACAAUAUAUACAGGAAAGUUGGUAAGUUGAGAGAGGAAAAGGUGUCCCAAAGGUUAGCAUUCAGUAGAGGAGAGGAGAGGAGAGAAUAUAAGCACAGUGCCAGGCAUGGGAAUGAAGGGUGCAGUAUUGGGAUAGGGAAAGCAGCAAAGCCAUCAAAUGGGCUGGGGCUUCUAGAGACUGUGCACCUCCUGGACAAAGGGAUAAAAAAGCCACAGUCUAGAAUGUGAUGAGGAAUGAGAGGCAGAAAGUAGAGAGUGUCACAUGUCACAACAGGCCACCAACAUGCCAGGUCUAGGAAACUUCUGACUUAACUGACCCGUGUAUCCUCUUCCAACUUGGGGGUUGGCUUUCUGGCCACAGCAGUCCUUCCUUCCCUUUCUUUAUUGGAAAUUGAAGUAGGCUCUAGGCCAUGUUCCAAAGGAUCUGACUGGAGAGGCAGCUUUAGAAAAGUAACUGAAAACGUUUUGCUCAGGAGCAGCUGGGUGGCACUGGGUGAGAGAGUCUUAAAACAAACAAACAAAAUGUCUGUGUCCCAUUUUCCUCAACUGUAAAAUGAAUUAGCAAUGCCAAGAGAGGCCCUAGAGAUGUUGGACAGGUAAAAGGAGGAGCUCCGUAGAUGAAGACUGCAAGGUGUUAGCUGAUUCCUGGUUAUCAAUGUUGAUGACAUCAUUUCUUAAUCCAGUCUCUCAGCCACAAUCCCGGGACCCAUUGUGAUGUCAUAUACUUUCAAAGACCCCAUGACAGCUUCUCUUACUCCCUGGAGAGAAGAUGACUUGGAACAAAGGGUCUAAAGACAAGUGUGAGCCGUCUGGGAGGUGUCUGUGCCGGAAGCCUCCUGCUCCGUGAAAGCUCGCCAGCUCUGCUGUACUCUUGCAUCACUGAGUUAUACUGCACCAGAGUUGUUGGUGUCACCUGUAGGACUAACUUGGACCUUCUUUCCAAGGCUGUUCUAAAGGCCAGCUAUGCAAUAGGGAAGUCUAUUUGGGGUGUUUUCAUGACCCAUUAGCUGCCCCCGUCCCCUCUUGCUUGUGGGUGGUCACUAAAACCUGGGCCCUCUUCUUUCCAAAUGUUAAAAUCUUGCUUUUUCCUCCUGCUUCUUCUGUGGGGUUCGCAUGGCUCAUAUCAAAGGUAUGAAAAAGUCUGAGCUUGAAGUUGUCCUCGGAUUCCCACUACGUAUUCCCACGUUAGUAGGGAAUCCCUUCACCCUCCCCUUGAAGAGAGCCCUGAAUGACUAGAGUUUCGUUUGUGUGGCAGAGGGUUCCUGCUUGCUGGGGAAGACUUUUGAAGACAACCUGAAACCUGAUGGAGGCUGAUGCUCAAAUUGAGGAUAUACCAAAUGUCACAAUGGUGGCUUCUAUGGAAGCUCCAUUGGGCAGGAGGCAGGAGACCGAUCCAAGAAAGGCUGCUGGAGAAAACAUUAAUCCUCUGCAACUUCCCCUGCCCCAACUCUGGGAGCAGAGGCCAAGGCUGGCAUUGCUGCAGGCUUGUGCCUGUCCCACACCAACCUAGGCAGUCAGUGACUGAGUCGGAAGAGCCUUGCCUGGGUUUUCAGAACUGCAUUACCUACACGGAGGCGCCUAUGGAAAUCCCUGGUGCCUUUGGUCUUUGAGCACCUUGCUCCCCAGCCUUAAGGGGGAAAGCAGAAAUGCAAUCAUACUGGCUUGUGUUAGUGAGGUCCUCUACCGUGAUUUUUUUUAAAAAAUACUUUACAUAUUCAUACUAUUCUGUUUUUGAAAACUUUAAGGUAACUUUGGUAUUCUCACUGCCUAUUGUCACUUAAGACCCAAAAGUUUACAGGAAUAGAUGGGUGUGGAUACAUUCUAUGAGGAGAAAGUGUAGAACACGGCCGUUAAGGGAGGGGGUUUGGGAAUGCCAGGACAGCGAAGGGAGUGUGCGCCCACCAGGCUUUGCUGUGCAAGUUGCCAAGAGCUCACCCGCAGAACCGGAAGUGGAAGCAUCCAUUGCCCUGUGCUGCCGUCAUUCCUAUUCCGUCCGGACCAGAGAGAUGGAACCCCUUGGGAGUUAUUAUUUAUUAUUUAAUAAUAGAUGUUCAUAGAGUCUCAUGUGAAUGUCAAGACACCAGCAGGAAUUUAGAGUAGCAGAUAAAAAAAACGUUGCGUUCAUGUCCUCCCUGCACCCCACAUGGAAGCAAUACUGUGUUCUUCACUCAAUUGUAGAUGUCAACUUGUUUAGAUGUAUAACGCUUUUUAUAUGCUACCCCAUAAAAUGCUGAAUUGUUUGAUUGCUGCCCUGCUGCACUAGCCAGUCAUGGAGAGUGAUUAUGUCCCAUAAAAACUCUUGUUUAUCUGGAACAUUAUCUCUGUUUAAAAGAGCUUUGUGCCAUGUGAAUUGAAAACAGAACUUGAAAUUAUUUCAUACAAUGUUUAUUUUUUAAUUAAGAACAUAGAAUAUUCAUUAUUUUCAGCCUCUAAAAGCAGUUCACUUUUUUUUUAUUGGAUAUUUAUUUACAUUUCUAAUGUUAUUCCCUUUCCUGGUUUCUUGUCCCUAUCCCCCUCCCCUUCUUCUAUAAGGGUGUUCCCCUCCCCAUCCACCCUCCCUUCCUCCUCCCCCCAACAAUCCCCUACACUGGGGGUCCAGCCCUGGCAGGACCAAGGGCUUCUCCUUCCAUUGGUGCCCAGCAAGGCCAUCCUCUGCUACAUUUGCAGUUGGAGCCAUGGGUCAGUCUAUGCACAGUCUUUGGGUAGUGGCUUAGUUCCUGGAAGCUCUGGUUGUUUGGCACUGUUGUUCGUAUGGGGUUACAAACUCCUCCAGUUCCUUUAAUUCUUUCUCUAAUUCCUCUAAGAGGGCCCCGUUCUCAGGUCAGUGGUUUGCUGCUAGCGGUCGCCUCUCUAUUUGACAUGCUCUGGCUGUGUCUCUCAGGAGAGAUCUAUAUCCGGUUCCUGUCAGCCUGCACCUCUUAGCUUCAUCAAUCUUAUCUAGUUUUGGUAGCUGUGUAUACAUGGGCCACAUGUGGGGCAGGCUCUGAAUGGCCGUUCCUUCAGUUUCUGCUCUAAACUUAAAGCAGUUCAUUUAAAUAAACAUAUCUAUUAUCUAUAAGGCAGGGACUAUAUAUAAAUGAGACUAGAGAUAUAAAGUAGGUAAAUGAGUCUGGCGUGGGGAAUGGGCGGAGUCAUCAAGUAUUUCUCAAGACCUGUGAGGAGAUGCGUCACCUCCAAACAGGAACUGGGGUAUCAGCCUUUACAUGUAAAGAUUUUUAAAGAGAGAGUAAAGAAUGCGGGCUGGAGAGAUGGCUCAGCGGUUAAGAGCACUGACUGCUCUUCCAGAAGUCCUGAGUUCAAAUCCCAGCAACCACAUGGUGGCUCACAACCAUCUGUAAUGGGAUCUGAUGCCCUCUUCUGGUGUGUCUGAAGACAGCUACAGUGCACUCAUAUACAUAAAAUAAAUAAAUUAAAAAAUUAUAACAAAGAAUGCAUGUGAAGAAUAUAUAUGUUAUAUAUAUCUUUGUCAGGAAACACAUUUUUCAAAACCCAUUCAACAUUACAAAAAUUAAGCAUUUUCAUACCAUGAGGAGAAGCUCAACUCCAACUAGAAAACCAGUAAUUUUCAUAAGAAAAUGUACACAAAACAUGGAUAAAUACAAUUCAUUCCAACCGCAGUAAAAAGUGUGGGCUCCCUCAGCUCUUAAGAUGAAGAGCAUAUAUGGAAGAAAAUGCUUGGCUGGUGUGUGUGUCUUACAGCAUAGCUUGCCCACUCUGUCCAUGGACACCGCAUGCUUCCACCUCUUGGCUACUGUGAAUAGUCCUGGCAUGAACACAGGUGCUCAGAUAUCUUUUUAAGACAUUAUUUUUGGUUUUCUAAGAUAUAUGACCAGAAAUGAGAUUGGUGGUUUGCAUGGUAGCAUGAUUUUCACAUUUCUAGUAGACUAUAAUGUUCAUUAGUUUUUAUCACUAAAUAAUGUUGCCCAAAAACAGUUGUGUUUAUCAUUGGCUAUUGUUUAUGUUGAGAUUUCAUCACCAGUGUACUAGCAAUGAAAGAGGUGGUGUUAGGCAGCUAGACAGACAUUAGCAGGCUUGGAAGCCCUUGAGCAUGGGCCUCUCACUUUGAAACCCACCUUUCAUUUUACCAUAUGGAAAGGUGGGAGAUACGGGAGCUUUAUUGCAGCCCGGUGAGGGAAGGCUACCUCCUCUGGCUCAGAAGGGUAGAUCUGAGUUCUCUACCUCUUGCCCUAGGUGGAGCAUAACAAAGUGAAGUACCCUAAAGAUUAGAAUAAUGUCCUCCACUAAGAGCAGCCCCAAAUGGGCCUACCCAUCACCUCACCAGGAAACCACUCCUCAGGAAAGCUGAUUCACCUGACAUGCUAAGGAGACAGAGGGAAUAAUUAUCCCCUUAAUGAAAUCAUGCACUCAGACACCCUGGCUGCCCCUCCUUUGGGGCAAGUUGCUCGCAGAUCUUUUAGUGACCGCUAAGCCUGCCUGCUUUUCUAAGUUGUGGUUCAAAAAUGUAACUUUUCCUUUCUCCCCUUCUAUCUCUUCUUUGGAUACCAGCCAAAAUCCUAAAUGGGCUUGCCCUGACAUGCUGGGCUUUCUCCCUGUUUUCUCUGGAGACUCUCUUUCUGCAAUGUUUGCAGCCCCCUGUGGCUCAGCCUGACAGAAGGCCGGCCCUUUUCCCUUAUCUACCCCCUCCCCAAACUGCCAAGAUUUUUAGCUUGCCUGCCCUGUUGAUUUUCUCUCAAAUUCCAAUAAAAUGGUCCUCAAGCUUCCUUCUGAGUUGGUUUUAAGAUUAUUUUACCAGAGAAAUUAAGAACCCACAAAGGGAACUGUGAUUCCUUGGUGCCACUGGGACCUUUAAGAGGGACUGAUCUCUUGUCUUGUGAGACAUUUAAUCUCAAAAUUGGUCACAGAAAUAUAUUAGUUCUUCUGAGAGUAUAAUGUUACAAAAAAUGUCUGGCCUCUUCUGUUCCGCACUCUGCCACAUUCUUACCACAUGAUGCACCUCCCCUGUCUGGCAGGAGAGACCGCAGAUCCACCCGCAGACCCAUCUUUGGUUGCAGUUUUGGACAGAAUGACAGCUUUGGAUCUAGUUUCAUCCUGUUUACAGGAGAACACCCAAGUUUAACAGCACUAUUUGCCAACAAAGCUUUUCCUGCCCCAAUGUGUAUUUUUUCACACUUUUGUCAAAGAGCAGGUGCUGUAUCUAUUCAAUUCUACUGGCGUAUGUGCCUGUUUCUGUUGUGCAAAUGACGUUUUUGCUAGUCGGAUACUAUGUGUAAGAGAUAAGAUAUAAUUAAUGGUCCAUCUUCAAGACAAACGUGCCUUGAAGUGCAGCUAUAGGUGAAGAAGAGAACACUAGAACCCUGACGGUGAUGGCUGGUCUAGAUAGCCUCUACCCAAAGGAAGCAUUUAGGGUGGACUAUUAUGAAGAGCCAAGCUUGCCUAUUGGCUUACAAACUGACAAAAUUUAUGUCUCGAGAAACUUUAAAAUACACAGAAUGUAAAGUGUGCAGAUGAACUCACUUGUAGUCUUUGCUGAGAAAAUGCAAACAUACGUGGCAAUUGGUGUGUAAGAUUUUUACUACCAUCCCAUUACUCAGCCAAUGAGGAAAAGGAGGAAGAGAACUGGACCUUCAGGGUUAUAAAAGCCAUCCUCGGACCUCACCCAGUGCAGAUAUACCCACGUCCCAUCCCUACCCCCACCCCCACUCCUUUUUUUUUAAAGGCCAGCAUUCAGUUCUGCAGAAACUAAAAUUACCUGAUUUUUUUCUAUGUGAAGUCUCCUAAAUACAUUAUUAUGAACUGUGGGUCCCCAUUCCUUACAGACCGGGUGCUCUGUAGGAUUUCUGCAUUUGGGGAGAGAACCCCUCAUUCUCUGGGAGAGCUGAAGAUACGUCCCUCCCAUCUUUGGGCAGCAGGGCUGCCUGACUUUGGUCUUUGCACAAGUCACCAGAAAAGACCCAUGGCAAUUCUGAGAGGAGCAAACCAAUGGUAGGGCACUCAGAUUUCCAGAAGGUGCAUCUCCUCAGGAAUCACCAACUUCAUUAAUGGGGGUCGUUCUUUUGGAUAAAGAGUGAAUGGAUUUAUAAACAUCCUGCUUGUCAACAAGGAAGUCAGAAGUUUCAAGAGGAACACAAAGCCCCCUUGGAAGAUCCCCUGGGCCUACAGAACUACUAGAUUGUCUUCUGAGUCCUAGUUUUAAUAUGUGAGCUCAGCUUGUGUCCAUUGACCAUUGUUUCUCAGGAAGUGAUUAGAAGAAUGGCUUUGGUUACCUGGGAAAGACAAUGACUCAUCCUCAAGUCAUAUAGUGAAGUUUCUCAAGCAUGCAUCUUGAAUGUGAUCAUAAUCUCCAAGACAGAGCUUAGACACAAGCCCUUCUCACAUGAGUUCUUCAGGGUAUUAGGAAAUCUAGCAAAGGAGGAUGAGGAAGAUGAGGAGGAGGUGGAG
ensembl:lncRNA